UAGCUCAGUUGGUAGAGCAACGGACUCUUAAUCCGUGGGUCCAGGGUUCGAGCCCCUG
rnacentral:tRNA from 1 species